GACGAACGCUGGCGGCGUGCUUAACACAUGCAAGUCGAACGGAAAGGCCCUGCUUUUGUGGGGUGCUCGAGUGGCGAACGGGUGAGUAACACGUGAGUAACCUGGCCUUGACUUUGGGAUAACUUCAGGAAACUGGGGCUAAUAACGGAUAGGAGCUCCUGCUGAAUGGUGGGGGUUGGAAAGUUUCGGCGGUUUGGGAUGGACUCGCGGCUUAUCAGCUUGCGGGUGGGGUGGUGGCUUACCAAGGCUUGGCCGGGAAGCCGGCCGGAUAGGAUGACCGGCCACAUUAGGACUGAGAUACGGCCCAGACUCCUACGGGAGGCAGCAGUGGGGAAUAUUGCACAAUGCGCGGAAGCCUGAUGCAGCAACGCCGCGUGCGGGAUGUCGGCCUUCGGUUUGUAAACCGCUUUCGCCUGUGACGAAGCGUGAGUGACGGUAAUUGGUAAAGAAGCACCGGCUAACUACGUG
rnacentral:rRNA from 1 species